rnacentral:misc_RNA from 1 species
GAUGAAGAACGCAGCGAAAUGCGAUAAGUAGUGUGAAUUGCAGAAUUCAGUGAAUCAUCGAAUCUUUGAACGCACAUUGCGCCCCUUGGUAUUCCAUGGGGCAUGCCUGUUCGAGCGUCAUUUGUACCUUCAAGCUUUGCUUGGUGUUGGGUGUUUGUCUCGCCUUUGCGUGUAGACUCGCCUUAAAAUAAUUGGCAGCCGGCGUAUUGAUUUCGGAGCGCAGUACAUCUCGCGCUUUGCACUCAUAACGACAGCGUCCAAAAGUACAUUUUACACUCUUGACCUCGGAUCAGGUAGGGAUACCCGCUGAACUUGAGCAUAUCAAUAAGCGGAGGA